UCUGUUAUCAGAGUGGUAACUACGUAUUCAUGCCAUUUGGCUAUUAGACGCUGUCUUUGUUCACAUGGUCCUGUUUUUUGCCACGUUGAUGUCUAUGUGCUAAAAUGAGUCCUCUUUUAACAUUCAGCCUGACUGAGAGGAUCCUCCCAAUCCGCAGUGAACACCUGAGGAUACAAGUCCUCAAGCAGAAGUCCCGAACCGCUCCGCUUUCUGGAUCUUGAUUUACAAUAAGCUUUAUUUAAUAUUUCCUGAUGUUGACUGAAAUAUAUGCCAACCAAUUGUAAUACAGUAUGCCUUAUUUUUUUGCAAUGGAAUUCUGGAAAAUACAGUUGCUGGCAAUUUGCUGUAACUGUAAUAAAAUACCGUAACUCAAA